rnacentral:rRNA from 1 species
UUUCUAGAGAUAGAGAGUUACUUCGGUACAUCGGUGACAGGUGGUGCAUGGUUGUCGUCAGCUCGUGUCGUGAGAUGUUGGGUUAAGUCCCGCAACGAGCGCAACCCCUAUUGUUAGUUGCCAUCAUUCAGUUGGGCACUCUAGCGAGACUGCCGGUAAUAAACCGGAGGAAGGUGGGGAUGACGUCAAAUCAUCAUGCCCCUUAUGACCUGGGCUACACACGUGCUACAAUGGUUGGUACAACGAGUUGCGAGUCGGUGACGGCGAGCUAAUCUCUUAAAGCCAAUCUCAGUUCGGAUUGUAGGCUGCAACUCGCCUACAUGAAGUCGGAAUCGCUAGUAAUCGCGGAUCAGCACGCCGCGGUGAAUACGUUCCCGGGCCUU